GGAAGAGAUAAGAAGAAAAAAGAAGAAAGAAGAAAUAAGAAGAAAGAAGAUGCUGGAGAAGAGGCAGACACGCCCGCCCCUGAAUACUUUCCUGCGCGUGCUAGCUCUCCGUCUCCGUCUCUCUUCUUUUCUCAAUUACUCGACGAAUUGGUAGCGGAUCGAAAAACGGAAGGUGCCGUUGGAUUUCUAGUUCCACUGCCGACAUUUCUAUUGGAGCAGAUUUUUCAUGCGAACGGUUUAGGUACUACUCUUGGGAAAAGGAUUUCGUCUAGAUCAAGCUUAGAGAGCUCGAGGUUCUAUAGUAUUAUUGGGAAAUAGUAAAAGAAAAUGGUAUAUUUCUAUGUAAAUUAUGGGAUGCAAAUAUUUAUAUUUUACGUCAUUAUAUUUUAAGUCUGUGGAGAAAAGAUAGUUGUGAACAUAUUGAAAUGUUUUGGAGAUAUAUGUAAUUAUGAAAAUGCAGGUGCUGGAUGAUUUAAUAUAGAUUAUAGUUAGAAUUAGUAAACUCUGAUAUUAUGUUAUA